UUUUUUUUGAAGAAAAGCAGCGUGAACAAGCGAAGGGAUCAUUAAAGAGAUUGCAAUGGGGAACUCCCACAAACCAUCGGAACGUUCCCUUUGAAGGCGUUGCUUCGGCGGGCUCGCCCGCCGGGGGGACGCUCAGACUCUUGCAGUUCUUCGGCCUCUCUGAGUACGAUUUUUAAAUAAGUCAAAACUUUCAACAACGGAUCUCUUGGUUCUGGCAUCGAUGAAGAACGCAGCGAAAUGCGAUAAGUAAUGUGAAUUGCAGAAUUCAGGGAAUCAUCGAAUUCUUUGAACGCACAUUGCGCCCGCACAGUAUUCUGGGCGGGCAUGCCUGUUCGAGCGUCAUUUCAACCUUUCAAAGCCCUUGCUUGUGUUGGGGUCCCUGCGGCUGCCCGCAGGGCCCUUGAAAACCAGUGGGCGGGCUCGCUAGUUCACACCGAGCGCCAGUAGCACAUUCUCGCUCAAGGGGGGUUGGGGGCCGGGUUUUCUUGCCGUUAAAAACCCCCCCCUUUUCCAAAAGGUUGACCUCGGAAUCCAGGUAAGGAAAUUCCCGCUGAACCUUUAAGCCUUUUCCAAUUAAGCGGAGGAAAAGAAAACCCACCGGGAUUGCCCUUGUAACGGCGAGGAAGCGGCCAACAGCUCAAAAUUUUGAAAUCUGGCUUCGGCCCCGAAGUUGUAAAUUUGUAGAGGGAAGCUUUUUGGCGCGGGCACCCUACUGAGUCCCCUGGAACGGGGCCCCAGAGAGGGUGAGAGCCCCGUAUAGUGGGAUGCCUAGCCUCUGUAAAAGCUCCUUCCGACGAGUCGAGUAGUUUGGAGAAUGCUGCUUCAAAAUGGGAGGUAAAUUUUCUUCUAAAGCUAAAUAUUUGGCCAGAGACCGGAAUAGCGCACAAGUAGAGUGAUCGAAAGAAUGAAAAAGCACUUUGGAAAAGAGGGUUAAACAGCAACGUGAAAUUUGUUGAAAGGGAAGCGCUUUGUGACCAGACUUGCGCCCCGGGUUGAUCAUCCGGUGUUCUUCACCGGUGCACUCCUCCGGGUCUCAGGCCAGCAUCGGUUCUCGCGGGGGGACAAAGGCCCAGGGAAACGAACGUCUAACGGGGAGUGUUAUAGCCCUGGGUGCAAUGCCUCUGCGUGGACCGAGGUCGCGCUUUCUAGGAUUCUGUUAGCCGAAAUGGCUAACACCCGUCUAACGGAAA
rnacentral:rRNA from 1 species